GACGAACGCUGGCGGCGUGCCUAAUACAUGCAAGUAGAACGCAGUUGCGCACGGGUGAGUAACGCGUAGGUAACUGCCUCAUAGCGGGGGAUAACUUUUGGAAACGAUAGCUAAUACCGCAUACUGUGAGAUGGACCUGCUUUGUAUUAGCUAGUUGUUGAGGUAAAGGCUCACCAAGGCGACGAUACAUAGCCGACCUGAGAGGAUGAUCGGCCACACUGGGACUGAGACACGGCCCAGACUACUACGGGAGGCAGCAGUAGGGAAUAUUCGGCAAUGGGCGAAAGUCUGACGGAGCAAUGCCGCGUGAGUGAAGAAGGUUUUCGGGUCGUAAAACUCUGUUGUUAGAGAAGCGGUAUCUAACGAGAAAGCCACGGCUAACUACGUGCCAGCAGCCGCGGUAAUUC
rnacentral:rRNA from 1 species